UGAGGAUUUGAGGUGAGCUGCAGUGGUAGCAAGGAGGAGAAUAGGACCAGUGACUUGUCCAAGAGUAACAGUAACUUUGCAUCUCUUGGCAUCUUGGGACCACAAGCGAUGAUGGCUACAGGGUCCAUCUCUGGAAGAUGUGGACAGGCUAGAUGCGUGCCAAAGAGCAGCACAGGAGGGGAGCAGAGGGCUGUAAGAAGGUGUGAAGCAAUUAGCACAGCAGCCUAUUGGUGCU